rnacentral:rRNA from 1 species
GGUUAAGUUAGAAAGGGCGCACGGUGGAUGCCUUGACACUAGGAGUCGAUGAAGGACGGGACUAACGCCGAUAUGCUUCGGGGAGCUGUAAGUAAGCUUUGAUCCGAAGAUUUCCGAAUGGGGAAACCCACCAUACGUAAUGGUAUGGUAUCCUUAUCUGAAUACAUAGGGUAAGGAAGACAGACCCAGGGAACUGAAACAUCUAAGUACCUGGAGGAAGAGAAAGCAAAUGCGAUUUCCUGAGUAGCGGCGAGCGAAACGGAACAUAGCCCAAACCAAGAGGCUUGCCUCUUGGGGUUGUAGGACAUUCUAUACGGAGUUACAAAGGAACGAGGUAGACGAAGCGACCUGGAAAGGUCCGUCGUAGAGGGUAACAACCCCGUAGUCGAAACUUCGUUCUCUCUUGAAUGUAUCCUGAGUACGGCGGAACACGUGAAAUUCCGUCGGAAUCUGGGAGGACCAUCUCCCAAGGCUAAAUACUCCCUAGUGAUCGAUAGUGAACCAGUACCGUGAGGGAAAGGUGAAAAGCACCCCGGAAGGGGAGUGAAAGAGAUCCUGAAACCGUGUGCCUACAAAUAGUCAGAGCCCGUUAACGGGUGAUGGCGUGCCUUUUGUAGAAUGAACCGGCGAGUUACGAUCCCGUGCGAGGUUAAGCUGAAGAGGCGGAGCCGCAGCGAAAGCGAGUCUGAAUAGGGCGUUUAGUACGUGGUCGUAGACCCGAAACCAGGUGAUCUACCCAUGUCCAGGGUGAAGUUCAGGUAACACUGAAUGGAGGCCCGAACCCACGCACGUUGAAAAGUGCGGGGAUGAGGUGUGGGUAGCGGAGAAAUUCCAAUCGAACCUGGAGAUAGCUGGUUCUCCCCGAAAUAGCUUUAGGGCUAGCCUUAAGUGUAAGAGUCUUGGAGGUAGAGCACUGAUUGGACUAGGGGUCCUCAUCGGAUUACCGAAUUCAGUCAAACUCCGAAUGCCAAUGACUUAUCCUUAGGAGUCAGACUGCGAGUGAUAAGAUCCGUAGUCAAAGGGAAACAGCCCAGACCGCCAGCUAAGGUCCCAAAGUGUGUAUUAAGUGGAAAAGGAUGUGGAGUUGCUUAGACAACUAGGAUGUUGGCUUAGAAGCAGCCACCAUUUAAAGAGUGCGUAAUAGCUCACUAGUCGAGUGACUCUGCGCCGAAAAUGUACCGGGGCUAAAUACACCACCGAAGCUGCGGAUUGAUACCAAUGGUAUCAGUGGUAGGGGAGCGUUCUAAGGACAGUGAAGUCAGACCGGAAGGACUGGUGGAGUGCUUAGAAGUGAGAAUGCCGGUAUGAGUAGCGAAAGACGGGUGAGAAUCCCGUCCACCGAAUGCCUAAGGUUUCCUGAGGAAGGCUCGUCCGCUCAGGGUUAGUCAGGACCUAAGCCGAGGCCGACAGGCGUAGGCGAUGGACAACAGGUUGAUAUUCCUGUACCACCUCUUUAUCGUUUGAGCAAUGGAGGGACGCAGAAGGAUAGAAGAAGCGUGCGAUUGGUUGUGCACGUCCAAGCAGUUAGGCUGAUAAGUAGGCAAAUCCGCUUAUCGUGAAGGCUGAGCUGUGAUGGGGAAGCUCCUUAUGGAGCGAAGUCUUUGAUUCCCCGCUGCCAAGAAAAGCUUCUAGCGAGAUAAAAGGUGCCUGUACCGCAAACCGACACAGGUAGGCGAGGAGAGAAUCCUAAGGUGUGCGAGAGAACUCUGGUUAAGGAACUCGGCAAAAUGACCCCGUAACUUCGGGAGAAGGGUGCUUUCUUAACGGAAAGCCGCAGUGAAUAGGCCCAAGCGACUGUUUAGCAAAAACACAGCUCUCUGCGAAGCCGUAAGGCGAAGUAUAGGGGUGACACCUGCCCGGUGCUGGAAGGUUAAGGAGAGGGGUUAGCGUAAGCGAAGCUCUGAACUGAAGCCCCAGUAAACGGCGGCCGUAACUAUAACGGUCCUAAGGUAGCGAAAUUCCUUGUCGGGUAAGUUCCGACCCGCACGAAAGGUGUAACGAUUUGGGCACUGUCUCAACCAGAGACUCGGUGAAAUUAUAGUACCUGUGAAGAUGCAGGUUACCCGCGACAGGACGGAAAGACCCCGUGGAGCUUUACUGUAGCCUGAUAUUGAAUUUUGGUACAGUUUGUACAGGAUAGGCGGGAGCCUUUGAAACCGGAGCGCUAGCUUCGGUGGAGGCGCUGGUGGGAUACCGCCCUGACUGUAUUGAAAUUCUAACCUACGGGUCUUAUCGACCCGGGAGACAGUGUCAGGUGGGCAGUUUGACUGGGGCGGUCGCCUCCUAAAGUGUAACGGAGGCGCCCAAAGGUUCCCUCAGAAUGGUUGGAAAUCAUUCGUAGAGUGCAAAGGCAUAAGGGAGCUUGACUGCGAGACCUACAAGUCGAGCAGGGACGAAAGUCGGGCUUAGUGAUCCGGUGGUUCCGCAUGGAAGGGCCAUCGCUCAACGGAUAAAAGCUACCCCGGGGAUAACAGGCUUAUCUCCCCAAGAGUCCACAUCGACGGGGAGGUUUGGCACCUCGAUGUCGGCUCAUCGCAUCCUGGGGCUGUAGUCGGUCCCAAGGGUUGGGCUGUUCGCCCAUUAAAGCGGUACGCGAGCUGGGUUCAGAACGUCGUGAGACAGUUCGGUCCCUAUCCGUCGUGGGCGUAGGAAAUUUGAGAGGAGCUGUCCUUAGUACGAGAGGACCGGGAUGGACGCACCGCUGGUGUACCAGUUGUUCUGCCAAGGGCAUAGCUGGGUAGCUAUGUGCGGAAGGGAUAAGUGCUGAAAGCAUCUAAGCAUGAAGCCCCCCUCAAGAUGAGAUUUCCCAUAGCGUAAGCUAGUAAGAUCCCUGAAAGAUGAUCAGGUUGAUAGGUUCGAGGUGGAAGCAUGGUGACAUGUGGAGCUGACGAAUACUAAUAGAUCGAGGACUUAACCAU